GGUUCUGCUCAGCAGCAGCAGCAGCAGCAGCAGCAGCAGCAGCAGCAGCAGCAGCAGCAGCAGCAACAGCAGCAGAG
ensembl:miRNA Gm44497 predicted gene, 44497